GCCUGGGUGGCUCAGUCAGUGGAGCAUCUGACUUCAGCUCAGGUCAUGAUCUCACGGUUUGUGGGUUCAAGCCCUGCAUUGGGCU
rnacentral:tRNA from 1 species